rnacentral:rRNA from 1 species
UACAGAGGGUGCGAGCGUUAAUCGGAAUUACUGGGCAUAAAGCGCACGUAGGCGGUCUGUUAAGUCAGGUGUGAAAGCCCCCCGGCUCAACCGGGGAAUAGCAUUUGAUACUGGCAGACUCGAGGAUGGUAGGGGUGAGUGGAACUCCAGGUGGAGCGGUGAAAUGCGUAGAUAUCUGGAGGAACACCGGUGGCGAAAGCGGCUCACUGGACCAUAACUGACGCUGAGGUGCGAAAGCUAGGGUAGCAAACGGGG